rnacentral:rRNA from 1 species
GGUUAAGCGACUAAGCGUACACGGUGGAUGCCCUGGCAGUCAGAGGCGAUGAAGGACGUGCUAAUCUGCGAUAAGCGUCGGUAAGGUGAUAUGAACCGUUAUAACCGGCGAUUUCCGAAUGGGGAAACCCAGUGUGAUUCGUCACACUAUCAUUAACUGAAUCCAUAGGUUAAUGAGGCGAACCGGGGGAACUGAAACAUCUAAGUACCCCGAGGAAAAGAAAUCAACCGAGAUUCCCCCAGUAGCGGCGAGCGAACGGGGAGCAGCCCAGAGCCUGAAUCAGUGUGUGUGUUAGUGGAAGCGUCUGGAAAGGCGUGCGAUACAGGGUGACAGCCCCGUACACAAAAAUGCACAUGCUGUGAGCUCGAUGAGUAGGGCGGGACACGUGGUAUCCUGUCUGAAUAUGGGGGGACCAUCCUCCAAGGCUAAAUACUCCUGACUGACCGAUAGUGAACCAGUACCGUGAGGGAAAGGCGAAAAGAACCCCGGCGAGGGGAGUGAAAAAGAACCUGAAACCGUGUACGUACAAGCAGUGGGAGCACGCUUAGGCGUGUGACUGCGUACCUUUUGUAUAAUGGGUCAGCGACUUAUAUUCUGUAGCAAGGUUAACCGAAUAGGGGAGCCGAAGGGAAACCGAGUCUUAACUGGGCGUUAAGUUGCAGGGUAUAGACCCGAAACCCGGUGAUCUAGCCAUGGGCAGGUUGAAGGUUGGGUAACACUAACUGGAGGACCGAACCGACUAAUGUUGAAAAAUUAGCGGAUGACUUGUGGCUGGGGGUGAAAGGCCAAUCAAACCGGGAGAUAGCUGGUUCUCCCCGAAAGCUAUUUAGGUAGCGCCUCGUGAAUUCAUCUCCGGGGGUAGAGCACUGUUUCGGCAAGGGGGUCAUCCCGACUUACCAACCCGAUGCAAACUGCGAAUACCGGAGAAUGUUAUCACGGGAGACACACGGCGGGUGCUAACGUCCGUCGUGAAGAGGGAAACAACCCAGACCGCCAGCUAAGGUCCCAAAGUCAUGGUUAAGUGGGAAACGAUGUGGGAAGGCCCAGACAGCCAGGAUGUUGGCUUAGAAGCAGCCAUCAUUUAAAGAAAGCGUAAUAGCUCACUGGUCGAGUCGGCCUGCGCGGAAGAUGUAACGGGGCUAAACCAUGCACCGAAGCUGCGGCAGCGACGCUUAUGCGUUGUUGGGUAGGGGAGCGUUCUGUAAGCCUGCGAAGGUGUGCUGUGAGGCAUGCUGGAGGUAUCAGAAGUGCGAAUGCUGACAUAAGUAACGAUAAAGCGGGUGAAAAGCCCGCUCGCCGGAAGACCAAGGGUUCCUGUCCAACGUUAAUCGGGGCAGGGUGAGUCGACCCCUAAGGCGAGGCCGAAAGGCGUAGUCGAUGGGAAACAGGUUAAUAUUCCUGUACUUGGUGUUACUGCGAAGGGGGGACGGAGAAGGCUAUGUUGGCCGGGCGACGGUUGUCCCGGUUUAAGCGUGUAGGCUGGUUUUCCAGGCAAAUCCGGAAAAUCAAGGCUGAGGCGUGAUGACGAGGCACUACGGUGCUGAAGCAACAAAUGCCCUGCUUCCAGGAAAAGCCUCUAAGCAUCAGGUAACAUCAAAUCGUACCCCAAACCGACACAGGUGGUCAGGUAGAGAAUACCAAGGCGCUUGAGAGAACUCGGGUGAAGGAACUAGGCAAAAUGGUGCCGUAACUUCGGGAGAAGGCACGCUGAUAUGUAGGUGAAGUCCCUCGCGGAUGGAGCUGAAAUCAGUCGAAGAUACCAGCUGGCUGCAACUGUUUAUUAAAAACACAGCACUGUGCAAACACGAAAGUGGACGUAUACGGUGUGACGCCUGCCCGGUGCCGGAAGGUUAAUUGAUGGGGUUAGCGCAAGCGAAGCUCUUGAUCGAAGCCCCGGUAAACGGCGGCCGUAACUAUAACGGUCCUAAGGUAGCGAAAUUCCUUGUCGGGUAAGUUCCGACCUGCACGAAUGGCGUAAUGAUGGCCAGGCUGUCUCCACCCGAGACUCAGUGAAAUUGAACUCGCUGUGAAGAUGCAGUGUACCCGCGGCAAGACGGAAAGACCCCGUGAACCUUUACUAUAGCUUGACACUGAACAUUGAGCCUUGAUGUGUAGGAUAGGUGGGAGGCUUUGAAGUGUGGACGCCAGUCUGCAUGGAGCCGACCUUGAAAUACCACCCUUUAAUGUUUGAUGUUCUAACGUUGACCCGUAAUCCGGGUUGCGGACAGUGUCUGGUGGGUAGUUUGACUGGGGCGGUCUCCUCCUAAAGAGUAACGGAGGAGCACGAAGGUUGGCUAAUCCUGGUCGGACAUCAGGAGGUUAGUGCAAUGGCAUAAGCCAGCUUGACUGCGAGCGUGACGGCGCGAGCAGGUGCGAAAGCAGGUCAUAGUGAUCCGGUGGUUCUGAAUGGAAGGGCCAUCGCUCAACGGAUAAAAGGUACUCCGGGGAUAACAGGCUGAUACCGCCCAAGAGUUCAUAUCGACGGCGGUGUUUGGCACCUCGAUGUCGGCUCAUCACAUCCUGGGGCUGAAGUAGGUCCCAAGGGUAUGGCUGUUCGCCAUUUAAAGUGGUACGCGAGCUGGGUUUAGAACGUCGUGAGACAGUUCGGUCCCUAUCUGCCGUGGGCGCUGGAGAACUGAGGGGGGCUGCUCCUAGUACGAGAGGACCGGAGUGGACGCAUCACUGGUGUUCGGGUUGUCAUGCCAAUGGCACUGCCCGGUAGCUAAAUGCGGAAGAGAUAAGUGCUGAAAGCAUCUAAGCACGAAACUUGCCCCGAGAUGAGUUCUCCCUGACUCCUUGAGAGUCCUGAAGGAACGUUGAAGACGACGACGUUGAUAGGCCGGGUGUGUAAGCGCAGCGAUGCGUUGAGCUAACCGGUACUAAUGAACCGUGAGGCUUAACCUU